rnacentral:rRNA from 1 species
AUGAACGCUAGCGACAGGCCUAACACAUGCAAGUCGAGGGGCAGCACAAGGAGCAAUCUGAGGUGGCGACCGGCGCACGGGUGAGUAACACGUAUGCAACCUGCCUGUAAGCGGGGAAUAACCCGUUGAAAGACGGACUAAUACCGCAUAAUACUAAAUUACUGCAUGGUAAUUUAUUUAAACAUUUUAUGGCUUUACAGAUGGGCAUGCGCAUGAUUAGCUAGUUGGAGAGGUAACGGCUCCCCAAGGCAACGAUCAUUAGGGGUUCUGAGAGGAAGGUCCCCCACACUGGUACUGAGACACGGACCAGACUCCUACGGGAGGCAGCAGUGAGGAAUAUUGGUCAAUGGACGAGAGUCUGAACCAGCCAAGUCGCGUGCAGGAAGAAUGUCCUAAUGGAUUGUAAACUGCGUUUUGCAGGGGAAUAAAGUGCAUCACGUGUGAUGUUUUGUAUGUACUCUGCGAAUAAGGAUCGGCUAACUCCGUGCCAGCAGCGGC